rnacentral:misc_RNA from 1 species
GUUGGUUUUGCUCAAAACAAUCUCAGUGGAUCCCUUCCAAGAGAAGUAGAAAAUUUGAAAAACCUGGGUAUCUUAGAUGUCUCUGACAACAUGUUAUCAGGUGAGAUACCGAGCAGUCUUGGGAGCUGUACAAGUCUAGAGUAUCUAUACAUGCAGGGGAACCAAUUCCAAGGGCCCAUUCCUUUAUCUCUGAGUUCAUUGAGAGGUCUUCAA